UUUCCGUAGGUGAACCUGCGGAAGGAUCAUUACUGAGUGAGGGCCCCUCGGGGUCCAACCUCCCACCCGUGUUUAACGAACCUUGUUGCUUCGGCGGCCCCGCCUCACGGCCGCCGGGGGGCAUCUGCCCCCGGGCCCGCGCCCGCCGAAGCCACCUGUGAACGCUGUCUGAAGUAUGCAGUCUGAGACAAUUAUUAAAUUAAUUAAAACUUUCAACAACGGAUCUCUUGGUUCCG
rnacentral:misc_RNA from 1 species